rnacentral:rRNA from 1 species
UACGAAGGGGGCGAGCGUUGUUCGGAUUUACUGGGCGUAAAGGGCGCGUAGGCGGCUUGACAAGUCACUUGUGAAAUCUCCGGGCUUAACUCGGAACGGCCAAGUGAAACUGUCAUGCUAGAGUGCAGAAGGGGCAAUCGGAAUUCUUGGUGUAGCGGUGAAAUGCGUAGAUAUCAAGAGGAACACCUGAGGUGAAGACGGGUUGCUGGGCUGACACUGACGCUGAGGCGCGAAAGCCAGGGGAGCAAACGGG